AAGACAGAAGAGAUGGGAUGAAAAACAAAACACAAGUAAACAUACCGACCUUGAGACAUUUUAAAAGAGAAAAGGAGAAAAUUGGGGGAGUGGAUGCCAUCAAGCCUCUCAUUAGAGAAGGAGUCGAGGAUAAAUCCCGGAAGCCCGGAGCUGAGGCCGGAUUAGGGGGAGGAGGAGAUUAAUGUGGUCAGGAGCAGCCGGCUUCCUAAUGGGCCUGAGCUGGGAUCUGGACCGUACAGCUGACCCUGGCGAGGGCCCCUGGAGGGGCUGCUUGGGGCGCAAAGGCCCAUGAUUCCCAGGUGCUACUGGAAGGAUGGGAUUAGAAGAAACGGGCUUAGAAAGGCACCCUAGCAAGGAAUCCAUGUACAGCAGAACGGACUCUAGCGGAGCUGGUUCAGCAAAGCUGUGGCUGGCUCCUCCUCACAGUCAAACAGCAUUUAUAAAAGCAUUUAUAAGGACACAUAAGUCAGCAUUAUGUUUAACAGAAUACCUAAUGCUACGAGAGUCAUUCUCUGAUCAAACCAGGGAAAGGUUGUCGGCUCUCACUAUUCAACAUAGUCCUGGACGUUCUGGGAGUGCAAUAAAGCAGGAAAGGAACGAAAAGGCAUUCACACAGGAAAAGAAAAACAAAACUGUCUCUAUUUGCAGGUGACAUGGUUGUUACUUAAAAAAAUCCCAAGGAAUGUACCCAAAACUCCUAGAACUAAUAACUGAGUUUGGCAAUGCCACAGGAUGCCAUCAAAUAAACAUAUGAAAAUCAACUAAUUCUACAUGCCAACUUUGAACUUGUGGACCCUGAAAUUAGAAAUAUUCCAUUUACAAUCACUAAAAAA